ACCGCUUUCUAAUAGAGUGAAGGCCCCUUGAGCCUUCACAUUUGAUGAAUUUGACCU
rnacentral:rRNA from 1 species